AUACGUAGGGGGCGAGCGUUGUCCGGAAUGAUUGGGCGUAAAGGGCGCGUAGGCGGCCCGGUAAGUCUGGAGUGAAAGUCCUGUUUUUAAGAUGGGAAUUGCUUUGGAUACUGUCGGGCUUGAGUGCAGGAGGGGUAAGUGGAAUUCCCAGUGUAGCGGUGAAAUGCGUAGAGAUUGGGAGGAACACCAGUGGCGAAGGCGACUUCGUGGCACAAUACGAACGCUCAUGUUCGAAAGCUAGGGUAGCGAACGGGUGUAGUUCCCCCGGUAGUCCUAGCCGUAAACGAGGGAUACUAGGUGUGGGUGUCGCAGGGCAUCCGUGCCGCAGCUAACGCGUUAAGUAUCCCGCCUGGGGACUACGGUCGCAAGACUGAAACUCAAAGGAAUUGGCGGGG
rnacentral:rRNA from 1 species